GCCCAGCUUCAGCUUGAACAGGAGCAUCCCUCCUUCUCUCCUUCCAUGCUGCAUUAAUAUUGAAACUGGAUGGCAAAGUAAGGUCGCCGACAAAGGAACUCUAAAAUGCAGGCAGUUUAUAAGUGCUCAAGAAAAUGCUUCUGUAAUACAGUAUCAUUGAGCCAGAUCUGGGCUGGAGCCUUCUGUAAUCAGUGGUGUGGCCUGGGUUUUCUGGAAGAAUGUUGAGUUGUUUCUAAUUUGUAGCUUUAGAAAUUAGACCCACUUCUAGGACAUUAUGCUAAGUGAAACAAGCCAGGCAUAGAAAGAUAACUACUAUGUGACCUCACAUAUAUGCAAUUAAGGAGGCUGGUCGUAUAGGAAGGGUGCAAUGGUGGUUACUAGGGGCUGAGCCAGGAAGAAGUGGGGAGAUGCUGGCCAAAGGAUGCAGAGUUUUGAUUAGAUGGGCUUGGAGCUGUGGUGAGCAGGACUUUGCUUCGUUAGAGAGGAGAGAGAGAAGAAAGCACCAGUGGACCAUGGCCUUGCUGCUGCCCUGCAGGACCUGAGGGCUCAGUGGUUGUCCUGAGGGGACUGAGAUUCAGAACUGAGCUCCACACUAAAACCAAAGCAAGGCACUGUUGGGAUGGCUUAGGAGCUAAAGUUUCCACAGGGCCAGUGGCUGAGUGCCUAAAAGUGCUUGUUGUCAAGCCUGACCACCUGCGUUUGAUCUCUGGGACUCAUACUGUGGAAGGAAAGCACCAACCAUUGCAAGCUGUCCCCUGGUUCCACCUGGGCAUGCGCUAUAGUAAAUAAAAAAGCAAAUGUAAUUUUAAAGGUUUCCACAUGAAUAGCCAAUGUUAUACUCUCCAGAGACCUGUUCCAUGCUCUCUGCCACUAUGUGUGUGUUAGUUACAUCUCCAGGCCCCCUGUGAUGGUCUCAUAGCAACUCUUCCUUCCACUUGUCAACUUUUUAACUUACGUGAUGGCUGGACUUUAAGGGUUAACCCAUCCCAAACUGCUUCACACUUUGAUAUCAACAUCAAUGCUUAGUUGACUUAAGUAGUUUAUCCCAGUUUACAUUUAUUUUUUAGUGGUAGGGAUUGUGCCCAGGGCAGAUAGAUGUUCUAUACUGAGCAGCAUCUCCAGCCCUUCAACUGGGCCCUCGAGAGUGAGAAAUCUAUUGAUUUAUUUCUCUCAUUAUAAAAAAAAAAAAACAGGGGCUGGCCAAGUCA